UGAAUACGAGACGCUAAGGCGUCGAAGUAGUGUAUGUCAUACUUCCAAGAAAAGCUUGCACUGUCAUAAGUAAAAAAUGCCUGUACCAUAACCGACACAGGUGGGUAGGUAGAGUAUACUAAGGGGCGCGAGAUAACUCUCUCUAAGGAACUCGGCAAAAUAACUCCGUAACUUCGGGAGAAGGAGUACCUUAUUCUAUAAGGUUGCAAUAACAAGAUCCAAGCAACUGUUUAUCAAAAACACAGGUCUCCGCUAAGUCGUAAGACGAUGUAUGGGGGCUGACGCCUGCCCAGUGCCAGAAGGUUAAAGAAGUCGGUUAGCAUUAGCGAAGCUGGUAACUGAAGCCCUGGUGAACGGCGGCCGUAACAAUAACGGUCCUAAGGUAGCGAAAUUCCUUGUCGGGUAAGUUCCGACCCGCACGAAAGGCGUAACGAUUUGGAUACUGUCUCGGAGAGGGGCUCGGUGAAAUAGACUUGUCUGUGAAGAUGCGGACUACCUGCACCAGGACAGAAAGACCCUAUGAAGCUUUACUGUAACUUGAAAUUGAAAUUGGACUUUAUUCGCGCAGUAUAGGUGGGAGGUGUUGAUUAUAAUCUUGCGGGAUUAUUGGAGCCAUCAGUGAGAUACCACUCUUGUAAUGUUAGAUUUCUAACUUUGAAUCAUUAUCUGGUCAAAGGACAGUUUCAGGCGGGCAGUUUGACUGGGGCGGUCGCCUCCCAAACGGUAACGGAGGCGUACAAAGGUUUCCUCUGAACGGGUAGAAAUCGUAUCUAGAGUGUAAAGGCAUAAGGAAGCUUGACUGUGAGACCUACAAGUCGAACAGGGACGAAAGUCGGUCUUAGUGAUCUGACGGUACUGAGUGGAAAGGCCGUCACUCAACGGAUAAAAGUUACUCUAGGAUAACAGGCUGAUCUCCCCCAAGAGUUCACAUCGACGGGGAGGUUUGGCACCUCGAUGUCGGCUCAUCGCAUCCUGGGGCGGUAGUACGUCCCAAGGGUUGGGCUGUUCGCCCAUGAAAGCGGUACGCGAGCUGGGUUCAGAACGUCGUGAGACAGUUCGGUCCAUAUCCGGUGUAGGCGUUAGAAUAUUGAGAGGAGCCUUCUUUAGUACGAGAGGACCGAGAAGGACAUACCUCUGGUGUACCAGUUAUCGUGCCAACGGUAAACGCUGGGUAGCUAUGUAUGGAGUGGAUAACCGCUGAAAGCAUCUAAGUGGGAAGCCCACCUCAAGAUGAGUAUUCUGGUGUAAGGUCACGGGAAGACGACCCGUAAUAGGCACGAGGUGGAAGUGCAGAGAUGUAUGAAGCCGAAGUGUACUAAUAGACCGUCGGCUUGAC
rnacentral:rRNA from 1 species